UGGGGAAUUUUGGACAAUGGGCGAAAGCCUGAUCCAGCAAUGCCGCGUGUGUGAAGAAGGCCUUCGGGUUGUAAAGCACUUUUGUCCGGAAAGAAAUCCUUGGCUCUAAUACAGUCGGGGGAUGACGGUACCGGAAGAAUAAGCACCGGCUAACUACGUGCCAGCAGCCGCGGUAAUACGUAGGGUGCAAGCGUUAAUCGGAAUUACUGGGCGUAAAGCGUGCGCAGGCGGUUUGCUAAGACCGAUGUGAAAUCCCCGGGCUCAACCUGGGAACUGCAUUGGUGACUGGCAGGCUAGAGUAUGGCAGAGGGGGGUAGAAUUCCACGUGUAGCAGUGAAAUGCGUAGAGAUGUGGAGGAAUACCGAUGGCGAAGGCAGCCCCCUGGGCCAAUACUGACGCUCAUGCACGAAAGCGUGGGGAGCAAACAGGAUUAGAUACCCGGGUAGUCCACGCCCUAAACGAUGUCAACUAGUUGUUGGGGAUUCAUUUCCUUAGUAACGUAGCUAACGCGUGAAGUUGACCGCCUGGGGAGUACGGUCGCAAGAUUAAAACUCAAAGGAAUUGACGGGGUCAUAGCUGUUUCCU
rnacentral:rRNA from 1 species